rnacentral:rRNA from 1 species
AAUAAGGAUCGGCUAACUCCGUGCCAGCAGCCGCGGUAAUACGGAGGAUCCAAGCGUUAUCCGGAAUCAUUGGGUUUAAAGGGUCCGUAGGUGGACAAUUAAGUCAGAGGUGAAAUCCUGCAGCUCAACUGUAGAACUGCCUUUGAUACUGUUUGUCUUGAGUUAUUAUGAAGUGGUUAGAAUGUGUAGUGUAGCGGUGAAAUGCAUAGAUAUUACACAGAAUACCGAUUGCGAAGGCAGAUCACUAAUAAUUAACUGACACUGAGGGACGAAAGCGUGGGUAGCGAACAGGAUUAGAUACCCUGGUAGUCCACGCCGUAAACGAUGGUCACUAGCUGUUUGGACUUCGGUCUGAGUGGCUAAGCGAAAGUGAUAAGUGACCCACCUGGGGAGUACGUUCGCAAGAAUGAAACU